UAGGUAUCGAAGGAUUUAAUAGAGAAUCCGGUAUAUGCCGGAGCGGUCCCGCCACUGUAACAGUGAGCAACCUGCAAUAUGUCACUGGGAGAGUACUUUCUUGGGAAGGCGCAGGUAUGCGAUGAACUGGAGCCAGGAGAACUGCCUGAUUGA
rnacentral:ncRNA from 1 species